rnacentral:lncRNA from 1 species
CUACUGCUCCCUGAUCCCCCUUUAACCUCCUACUGCUCCCUGAUCCCCCUUUAACCUCCUACUGCUCCCUGAUCCCCCUUUAACCUCCUACUGCUCCCUGAUCCCCCUUUAACCUCCUGCUCCCUGAUCCCCCUUUAACCUCCUACUGCUCCCUGAUCCCCCUUUAACCUGCUACUGCUCCCUGACCCCCCUCCACCUCAACCCCCAUUUAACCUCCUACUGUAUGGGGUAACACAUUUAACUCACCCCCUUUAACCUCCUACUGUAUGGGGUAACACAUUCAGCUCACUGACCCCCAUUUAAUCCCUGACCCACCUUCAACCUCACUGCUACCAUCCAGAUCCUCAUUUCCUUAUCCUAAUACUCCCAUCAUCUAGUGUUGUCGUUGUAACAGAGUUAAGAACGUGCCGUAAGGUCACUCCACAGCUAGCUUGAAAUGUCGUCGAUGGAGCCAUCCAAUUGGAUCCUUUUGUAUAGCUCAAUCGGUCGGUACUUUGUCAACGAGGAUGGUCACUGGUUCGAGCCCGUUAUGGGGACACGGACAGUGGAGGACAAUAUACUGUGGAGGAAGAUAUACUGUGGAGGAAAAUAUACUGUGAGCAGCUCACUGCCGUCGGUUUCAUGAUGUGAGAGACACAGUAUAUGAGAGAUGACUCUUCUUGACCUGUGCCUGUAUUCUUGUGUCUCUGAGUAGGAGUGCUGAUCUAGGGUCAGUUUUGCCUUUUAGAUCAUAAUGAAGAAGAUUAUAUGGACAUUGUGGACCUGAUCCUAGAUCUGCCUUCUCAACUUGUCACUCUCCACCCAUCCAUACUUGCUGUAAAACACAGUAGGACAUUUCUGUGAUUUGACCCGAAUGAUUACUUUACAGUAGUUUUUUUUUUAGCAUUGUGUUAAUCAAGUAGAAUAAUUCCUUGAGGAAUAGUUGCACCUUAUUUAUCUAUAGUAUAUAUCCAACUUUUAGAAUAUUGACUUGACUUUUGACCUAAUAUGGUUCCCUUGAAUAUGACGUGAUGCCUUCAGCCUUAGGCAUUCCCAUCACUUCCACUCUUUAUAACUGCAUUUAUUGUCUAUAGUCCAACUUCUGACAGUUGAGAUUUUGACAUUUGAAAGUGAACUGACACAACCGUGUUCCUACAACAUGAUAACCAGCAGCUUGACUUAAUUGGUUAAGUUCCCUUGCUAUUUUCUCUAUCGAUAGCGAGCUACACUGUACUCUGGUGAUAUUAUAUAUAUAUAUAUAUAUAUAUAUAUAUAUAUUAUAUAUAUCUUCAACGUCAGAAGAAAAUAGAGGGAAUAAUGCAUGACAUAAGCAGCUAAUUCACCUCAUCAAUAGAGAAUUGUGACAGCAUUUGAAAGACAACCAACUUGUAUGCUAAAGAAAAAGGAUUUUAAAUGUGACUGACCAGCAAUGUGAAAGUAGAACACUGGGGUGUUUAACUAAUGUUCUCCAGUGCAUUUAUGCUGUAUUCUAUGAUUCUAUCAUUGUUUAUGGAGAUAACUAGGAGAGCCUGCUCUUCUGUAUGCUUCUUUUUAGACUAGGCUGUUUUGACAAACAAGGCAGAGAUUGUAUAUGUUAGAAGUUGCUGCUCAAAUACCCCAAAGCCUUAUUAGAAUUAUGAAUAGCAAUUAUUUCAAGCUUCAUCAAAACAAAUGUUUUCUUUCCAACAGUGGUUGGUUGGAACCAAUACAAAAAAAACAAUACAAUACAAAGUGAUUGACAGUUAUUGGUAUAACUCAUUUGAGCCAUCAAAAUGACAGAAAAAAAAUAUGUUUUCUUGCUACCAAAAUAUUUAGCUGGCUAUGUUUGCUACAAAUGUCUUUCCUGGGUAAAGAACCAUUGUUGCAUAGGGGGAAGAACCCAGAGACAUAUAUAUAUAUAAUACAGUAUUAAUGUAUAUAUGGCUCUGAUAGAAUCCAGUUCCCCUAUAGGGUGUCCUGCAUGUACGUAUGUGACAUGCAGCCGUGUAUAGAGAAAACAAACUGCUUGUUAAGUGUUUGAAACUGUGGUGUUUCAGAAAGGAUACUUUAACCUUUUUCCUUUAGGUGUUGGUCUCAAAUUAAACAAAUAAACAAAACAAAAAAUCUAAAAAUAAAAACCUUUGGAGUGUUUUUCAGACUCCCAAAUCAAAAUGUUAAUAACAAGCUGUUGUACAACGUCUGGUUGAUAAGAAAUAUCGCUUAUUUUUUUGUACCUUAAAAACAACGUGGGGGGGGGGGUGCUGAGUCUUUUACCCCUUGUCCUCUUUUCCUUUUAAAGGACUAGCCUAGCUUUUUAAACAUUAACCCAUUAGAGAAAUGUUUGUUUGAGGAAACAAGCUUUUAAAGUGGCAGCCGCUCCACUUAAAACCAGGGGUUAAAUAUGGAUUUUGUAAGGUGAUGAAACUGUCCUGUCUCUCUGUCCCCCAAAAUUGGUAAAUUUUUCAUAUGAAUCUAUUGAACUGUCACUGUAUACAGUGUCUCACUGUACCCUGGAGGUGGUGGGACUCUGUUGGUUGUUGGUCACACCCCUUCCUCCCACCUCCCAAUUUAAUCCCUGCUCGUCAUAACACACUGGAUACUUGUAUGUGUAUAUAUAUAUGUGUAUAUAUAUAUAUUAUGUGUAUAUAUAUGUGUAUAUAUAUAUAUGUGUAUAUAUAUAUGUAUUUAUAUAUGUAUAUAUAUAUAUAUAUAUAUAUAUAUAUA